rnacentral:rRNA from 1 species
UACAGAGGUCUCAAGCGUUGUUCGGAUUCAUUGGGCGUAAAGGGUGUCGUAGGCGGCGCGGUAAGUCGGGUGUGAAAUCUCGGAGCUUAACUCCGAAACUGCAUUCGAUACUGCCGUGCUUGAGGACUGGAGAGGAGACUGGAAUUUACGGUGUAGCGGUGAAAUGCGCAGAUAUCAGGAGGAACACCGGUGGCGAAGGCGGGUCUCUGGGCCGAUACUGACGCUGAGGAGCGAAAGCGUGGGGAGCGAACAGG